rnacentral:rRNA from 1 species
GACGAACGCUGGCGGCGUGCUUAACACAUGCAAGUCGAACGGAAAGGCCCUGCUUUUGUGGGGUGCACGAGUGGCGAACGGGGGAGUAAAACGUGAGUAACCUGCCCUUGACUGUGGGAUAACUUCAGGAAACUGGGGAGAAUACAGGAUAGGAGCUCUUGAUGCAUGGUGGGGGUUGGAAAGUGUCGGCGGUUGGGGAUGGACUCGAGGGUUAUGAGCUAGUUGGUGGGGUAGUGGAUUACCAAGGCUUUGACGGGUAGCCGGCCUGAGAGGGUGACCGGCCACAUUGCGACUGAGAUACGGCGCAGACUCCUACGGGAGGCAGCAGUGGAGAAUAUUGCACAAUGGGCGGAAGCCUGAUGCAGCAACGCCGCGUGCGGGAUGACGGCCUUCGGGUUGUAAACCGCUUUCGCCUGUGACGAAGCGUGAGUGACGGUAAUGGGUAAAGAAGCACCGGCUAACUACGUG